AGCAGCCGCGGUAAUUCCAGCUCCAAUAGCGUAUAUUAAAGUUGCUGCAGUUAAAAAGCUCGUAGUUGAAUUUCGGGACCAUCAUGUUGGUCGUGCCUCGGUACGUACUGGCAUUGUUGGUUUCUCCCUUCUGACGAACCAUGAUGUCAUUUAUUUGGUGUCGUGGGAAAUCAGGACUGUUACUUUGAAAAAAUUAGAGUGUUUAAAGCAGGCUCACGCUUGAAUACAUUAGCAUGGAAUAAUGAAAUAGGACGUUUGAUUCUAUUUUGUUGGUUUCUAGGAUCGACGUAAUGAUUAAUAGGGAUAGUUGGGGGCAUUAGUAUUCAAUUGUCAGAGGUGAAAUUCUUGGAUUUAUUGAAGACUAACUGCUGCGAAAGCAUUUGCCAAGGAUGUUUUCAUUAAUCAAGAACGAAAGUUAGGGGAUCGAAGACGAUCAGAUACUGUCGUAGUCUUAACCAUAAACUAUGCCGACUAGGGAUCGGAUGAUGUUAAUUUUUUAAUGACUCAUUCGGCGCCUUAC
rnacentral:rRNA from 1 species